rnacentral:misc_RNA from 1 species
AACGCACCUUGCGCUCCCUGGUAUUCCUAGGAGCAUGCCUGUUUGAGUGUCAUGAAUCCCUCAAAUCCCAAUGUUUUGUAAAAAGCGCUGCUUGGAUUUGGUUGUGGGCCCUUGCAGUCUGUCACGAGUCUGCUGGCCUUAAAGAUAUUAGCUGGACCUCUCUAAUCUCUUAGCAGAGUACUUCCAUUUGAUGUAAUAAAAUUGCAUUGGUGGAAGCUCUACUAAGUACAUAGAGCAAGUCUGCUUCUUAACCCGGCGCGAGUGGCAACACUCAACCCACUAUUUCAUAACUCUGGCCUCAAAUCAGGUAGGACUACCCGCUGAACUUAA